rnacentral:lncRNA from 1 species
AACUACCAGUUACUGGGUAGAAGACCAAGGGUGAGAGUGUCUGACAUCGGUUAGGAUGGACAUAUCAAGGAUAAACUCAACAGUGAAGAAGAUCCGUCAUCGGUUAAGAUGAACAUAUCGAAGAUAGACUUGCCUGGAAAAUGUUAAGGAGGAUACCCGUCAUCGGUUAGGAUGAACAUAUCAAGGAUAUACCAACUGAACAAAAAAGGGGAUUACAUUUAUCGAAAAC